rnacentral:rRNA from 1 species
UUUAUGGAGAGUUUGAUCCUGGCUCAGGAUGAACGCUGGCGGCGUGCCUAAUACAUGCAAGUCGAGCGAACAGACGAGGAGCUUGCUCCUCUGACGUUAGCGGCGGACGGGUGAGUAACACGUGGAUAACCUACCUAUAAGACUGGGAUAACUUCGGGAAACCGGAGCUAAUACCGGAUAAUAUAUUGAAUCGCAUGGUUCAAUAGUGAAAGACGGUUUUGCUGUCACUUAUAGAUGGAUCCGCGCCGCAUUAGCUAGUUGGUAAGGUAACGGCUUACCAAGGCAACGAUGCGU